UACGUAGGACCCAAGCGUUAUCCGGAUUUACUGGGCGUAAAGCGUGCGUAGACGGCCUGUUAAGUGGGACGUGAAAUCCGACGGCUCAACCGUUGGACUGUGUCCUAUACUGGCAGGCUAGAGGACGGCAGAGGCCAGUGGAACUUGCGGUGUAGCAGUGAAAUGCGUAGAUAUCGCAAAGAACACCAAUGGCGAAGGCAGCUGGCUGGGCCGUCCCUGACGUUGAGGCACGAAAGCGUGGGGAGCGAACAGG
rnacentral:rRNA from 1 species